AUGCACUGUGACUGUAAGUCGCUCUGAAUAAGAGCGUCUGCUAAAUGACUAAAA
rfam:Salmo salar isolate Sally breed double haploid chromosome ssa19, whole genome shotgun sequence.